rnacentral:rRNA from 1 species
UUGGUCCUACGGGGGGCAGCAGUGGGGAAUAUUGGGCAAUGGGCGCAAGCCUGACCCAGCAACGCCGCGCGAAGGAAGAAGGCUUUCGGGUUGUAAACUUCUUUUGUCAGGGACGAAGCAAGUGACGGUACCUGACGAAUAAGCCACGGCUAACUACGUGCCAGCAGCCGCGGUAAUACGUAGGUGGCAAGCGUUGUCCGGAUUUACUGGGUGUAAAGGGCGUGUAGCCGGGCUGACAAGUCAGAUGUGAAAUCCGGGGGCUCAACCCCCGAACUGCAUUUGAAACGGUUGGUCUUGAGUAUCGG